CUAAUAGUAAAUACAUCUCAAAGAUAACUAUAUAUCAUUAUUCAACGAGCAACAGCUUCCAAUGAAUAUAAUGGUUCACAUCCUUCCUCUGCGCGUGAGGUGGACAUGAAGCGGGUGGAGCUUGUAGGCGGUGAGCUGCACGGUGUCCACCUUCUCCUCGUCACCCUCCCUCAGCCUCCACCCGAACUCCUGCACGAAGCGCGCGACGGCGGCGCACGCGAUGUGAGUCGCCUGC
rnacentral:lncRNA from 1 species